ACUCCUACGGGAGGCAGCAGUGGGAAUAUUGCACAAUGGGCGCAAGCCUGAUGCAGCCAUGCCGCGUGUGUGAAGAAGGCCUUCGGGUUGUAAAGCACUUUCAGUUGUGAUGGAAAGGUUGAAGUCGCUAAUAUCGGCUAGCUGUGACGUUAGCAACAGAAGAAGCACCGGCUAACUCCGUGCCAGCAGCCGCGGUAAUACGGAGGGUGCGAGCGUUAAUCGGAAUUACUGGGCGUAAAGCGCAUGCAGGUGGUUUGUUAAGUCAGAUGUGAAAGCCC
rnacentral:rRNA from 1 species